rnacentral:rRNA from 1 species
UACGAAGGGGGCUAGCGUUGCUCGGAAUCACUGGGCGUAAAGCGCACGUAGGCGGAUCUUUAAGUCAGGGGUGAAAUCCCAAGGCUCAACCUUGGAACUGCCUUUGAUACUGGGGAUCUCGAGUCCGGAAGAGGUUGGUGGAGCUGCGAGUGUAGAGGUGAAAUUCGUAGAUAUUCGCAAGAACACCAGUGGCGAAGGCGGCCAACUGGUCCGGUACUGACGCUGAGGUGCGAAAGCGUGGGAGCAACAGG